GAGUUUGAUCCUGGCUCAGAACGUACGCUGGCGGCACGCCUAACACAUGCAAGUCGAACGAAGUAGCAAUACUUAGUGGCAGACGGGUGAGUAACAUGUAGGUAUCUGCCCUUUGGCCUGGAAUAACACGAGGAAACUUGUGCUAAUACCGGAUAAGUCUUUACGGAGAAAGCUUUAUGCACCAUUGGAUGAGCCUGCACUUGAUUAGUUUGUUGGUGGGGUAAUGGCCUACCAAGACUGUGAUCAAUAGCUGAUUUGAGAGGAUGAUCAGCCACAUUGGGACUGAGACACGGCCCAAACUCCUACGGGAGGCAGCAGUGGGGAAUCUUGCACAAUGGAGGAAACUCUGAUGCAGCGAUGCCGCGUGAGUGAAGAAGGCCCUUGGGUUGUAAAGCUCUUUCGUCGGGGAAGAAAAUGACUGUACCCCGCAAUAAAAAAAGUCCGGCUAACUUUCGUGCCCAGCAAGCCCCCGGUAAUACGAAAGGGGACCUAGCGUAGUUCGGAAUUACUGGGGCUUAAAAGAGUUCGUAGGUGGUUGAAAAAGUUAGUGGUGAAAUCCCAGAGCUUAACUCUGGAACUGCCAUUAAAACUUUUCAGCUAGAGUAUGAUAGAGGAAAGCAGAAUUUCUAGUGUAGAGGUGAAAUUCGUAGAUAUUAGAAAGAAUACCAAUUGCGAAGGCAGCUUUCUGGAUCAUUACUGACACUGAGGAACGAAAGCAUGGGUAGCGAAGAGGAUUAGAUACCCUCGUAGUCCAUGCCGUAACGAUGUGUGUUAGACGUUGGA
rnacentral:rRNA from 1 species